UUGGGCGUAAAGCGAGCGCAGGCGGUUUCUUAAGUCUGAUGUGAAAGCUUUCGGCUCAACCGAAGAAGUGCAUCGGAAACUGGGAAACUUGAGUGCAGAAGAGGACAGUGGAACUCCAUGUGUAGCGGUGAAAUGCGUAGAUAUAUGGAAGAACACCAGUGGCGAAGGCGGCUGUCUGGUCUGUAACUGACGCUGAGGCUCGAAAGCAUGGGUAGCAAACAGGAUUAGAUACCCUGGUAGUCCAUGCCGUAAACGAUGAGUGCUAGGUGUUGGAGGGUUUCCGCCCUUCAGUGCCGCAGCUAACGCAUUAAGCACUCCGCCUGGGGAGUACGACCGCAAGGUUGAAACUCAAAGGAAUUGACGGGGGCCCGCACAAGCGGUGGAGCAUGUGGUUUAAUUCGAAGCAACGCGAAGAACCUUACCAGGUCUUGACAUCCUUUGACCACUCUAGAGAUAGAGCUUUCCCUUCGGGGACAAAGUGACAGGUGGUGCAUGGUUGUCGUCAGCUCGUGUCGUGAGAUGUUGGGUUAAGUCCCGCAACGAGCGCAACCCUUAUUACUAGUUGCCAGCAUUUAGUUGGGCACUCUAGUGAGACUGCCGGUGACAAACCGGAGGAAGGUGGGGACGACGUCAAAUCAUCAUGCCCCUUAUGACCUGGGCUACACACGUGCUACAAUGGAUGGUACAACGAGUUGCGAGACCGCGAGGUUUAGCUAAUCUCUUAAAACCAUUCUCAGUUCGGAUUGUAGGCUGCAACUCGCCUACAUGAAGCCGGAAUCGC
rnacentral:rRNA from 1 species